rnacentral:rRNA from 1 species
UAAGGUGGCUAUAGCAACGGGGCUCACCUCUUCCCAUUCCGAACAGAGAAGUUAAGCCCGUUAGCGCCGAUGGUACUGCUUCUUGUGGGAGAGUAGGUCGCCGCCUUGC